ACUACCCCGAACAUGCAAUAUCCUUCAGCUUUUCAAAGCAAUUCCUUUCUACACGUUACAUGUUCUCUGUUUUCUAUUUUAUUUUUUCUGUUUUUUCUUUUACUGGGUAGGAAAGUUGACAUACACUUGCCACGUCGUAGUAAGAUUGGAAUUGUUGAAAUUCCCUUCGUAGAAAAAAGAAUGUUGCUGGAAUGGAUGAGGGAUGUGUUGUCAUAUCCUAUCAGUGCCCCCGAUGGGCUUUACUCAGCGACCAGAUUGUUGCGUCUGAAUCAUGAAUCUACAAGUCAAAAGCAUGAUUCUACUCGUGUAAUAGCAACAAGAAUCAACAAUUAGGGUUGUUGUUGCAAGCAUUCUUAGUACCAAACUAACAAUUGGAUGCAAUCCAGAAGGAUUUUCAUCUUCCUCUCCCUCUUCCUCUUCUUCGUCUUCUACAACGUUUUUGCCCGGACCCACAGCUCGUCCAUCGGAUUUCAGACUCUUGCAUGAAUCGAAGUUAAAAUGGUCGUGAUCACCAGAAUAUGGUGAGUGACGGUGAUGCCGCAAGGACCUUGACUUCCCACAGGCUGGAAUGGAUCGUGAUGGGCCUGAUGGGAUACAAUGAUGGUGGAUCGCGUCAGGGAGAUUCGAUGAUGACCAUGGAGUCCUCGACCCGUCGCCACCGGAAUCUGCAUGAAUUCCCCUCAAUGCUCUGCUUCAGGCGAAAGAGUGCAUGCGUGCCACAAGCCAUAGCGAGCGGGCUUGCGUGUGCAUCCCCACAGAAUACGAGCAUAGCGACUUUCAGGAGCUCAUCAAUGGGCUGCUGGUACACAAAAGAACGUGACAAGGAAAUCUACCUGCAUUUCAGCUGCCCUACUCGUGGCGAUGUGUGGCGAUGUGUGACGCUGUCAGAAUGAGCUUUUCAGGAAGAAAGUUGAUUUUGGAUGCGCUCUCAGAUUGCUGUGCUGUCGGUUUCUGGGUGUUGCGUGAGAGAAUAAUCCCUGUGGGUCAUGGCUGUCGACAUAUGCUGCGGAGUUGGUCUCGUCAGGUCGUGCGGGUGCGCGCGUAAGCUGCAAGGUAUUGUAGCAACGUAAGGUCUUAUGUUGCUUCAUUUUGGGUGAGAAUUAAGUUUCCUCGUUAGCGUAAGCUGGGGGUUAAGAGGGUGCCGGUUUCCGCCGUCAUACUGUGGGUGCCCUGGACAAGACAAUUUGUGGCGAGAUGUGCGCUUUCCAAAUUAGUUUUGGCUUUGCGCGUGCAGCAUUUGAGACAUUGGCCAACUGGAUUUGUGACCGGGAGAUUCGAAUUACAACUGCAAGUGUGCUCAAAUCAGCAGUCUCAUACUCCAUAUCUUACCAAGAUAAAGGAGUUCUAAAUCUCUCGGUAUCUGAGCCGGCUUCUCACUGCAGCGUCUUUAGGUUUAGGGAACAUUGUGCGCAGAGUUGAUGAGCCUAGGGUUGCUAGUGGAAGUGUAGGACACUGGCUUCUGGAAUGUAGGACCCAGGAGAGAUCCGUUCGACGUGUGUUGAGCACUGUGCAAAAUUGGACACGUUCAAUGGGUUGUGACGUAAUGUUUGAUGGCAACUCUAGUUCUCAGUUCUACACCUACUGCAUGAGCUCAGAGGUCGGUGCGCCGCGGCACGAGCUUCCGGGUUUGCAAGGCGGGAAUCUAAAUACUUUCUCCGGCUGUAACCAUCUCUGCAUCGGCGCGCGCAUGAAUUGCCUUACGCUUCUGUGUUUUUUUUUUCCCUUCCUUGACUUGAUUGUUGGUGGCGCGUAUUUCUCGUGAUCACAGAGCAAUUCUCUCCAUUACGAAUAGGUUUAUGCAGGCAGUUCUGGGCCUACAUACAGACCCGUAUGCACCCCGAGGUUGUCAACCAUAGAUUCCGCGGGUCAUGGUCAGUUCUGGGAGCAUUCUUCACAAGUUUCACGCGAUUUUGUAGCAGUGUUUCGCAUCAACGACACCUGGAUUGUUUGGUGCGUGAUUGUGUGGAGGUCGCUGGGACCUCCGCAUUGUCUUAACCUCAACGGAGUGAUCUAUCCCUUGUCAAAUUUUGACGCUUCUUCGGCUCCGGUUUAUACUCCAUGCACCAGAUCAUCUUGGUUCGUUCUCUGCUCUUUCAAUAAGCUAACAGUGACCUCAAAUUGGCACAGCUGAACCGGUAUGUCCACAACCUUUCUAAACCUACAGUCUCUGGGAGGGAAUGCCCUAGUGACCUAAACAGCAAAUCUAACUUCGUGAGGGGCUUGUUGUCAUCAAAACUCAACUAAUUCCUUUGGCAGUAGCAUGUUGUACUUUGCAGCUUGAUGAUGUAUUGCUCUUUGGCAGAUCACAGAGCUCUAGAAUGUGGAUCCACAUCCAUAAUCUCGGUGAAGCCUUUUCUUCAGUGCCUCGGAGUGCUGUUGAAUCGUAAGCUUGUGUGUGAGCUUGUCGCCAUUGCCAGCAUCACAUGAUUCAUGAAGGUAACCUGCCUUUGCACUGCUUCUGAUAUCAGAAGAAUUGUCAAAGGAUAUCAGAAGAAGAGCCUUAAACAUUGCAGUACUUAUACAUGUAGUAAACCUGUCAUUUGAUUCAAUGUUUUUAUGCUUUAACUGUGGGUUGUUCGUAUGCAAGCUAAUACCAUAUUCACUUAGGUAGUUCUAAGAGCUUUGAUAUGGAGGAGAGAUAGGAAAGUUGGAGAGAGUUUUUGUGUAGAUGCUAGAACAAGUGAAAAACUCGGAGGUUUAAUAGGAUUUGGGUCUACUACAACCAUUGUCCAAUGGAGUUACUAAAAAAAAUACUUAUAGAAGUGUCAAAAAAUUUAGAAGUCUUGGAAAAAGGUAAGUUCUAUAUUUUUGAUAUAAACACUUCAAUCUCCAGAACCAAAAUAAAUGAAUAAAGAAAGAAAGAAAUAAGAACUGAUUUUAUUGUAAUAUGAUUUUUUUCGUAAGCAUUGGAACCCAAAAAUUCAAAACCCAAAAAAAGAAAAAAGAAUAAGUUAUUUAUUUUUAUAUAUAAAUAUACACAUACACAUCAGUAUUGCAAUGACUUAAGAAUCAGAGUCUUUUACACUAUCCCUCACUACAUUCCAGAAAAUACUAGAAGGGAAAAUUUGAAGAAAAGGGGAAACACGUUAGUUAGGUGUAUAAACUUCCAACACCUAUAGAUCAUGUAAUUCCAAAACUAUGUAAAAUUCCAGGCUAUUGUAAGUAAUUAUCCUAGUUGGAGAUUGGAGAAUGAAGUUGGUCAAGCGAUAAGGAGUCGAUAAGAGGAACGGCAAAUGCAGGAUUAGAUCAAAUGGUGUUUCACUAAUGGAAGAAUGGAGCUUGCACAGCAACAUUCGAAACAAUGAGGUAAGACCCCCGAAAAAAUACCAAACAAAAGCGUCGAAACAUGCAGUUCGAAGGUGUGAAUCCUGAUCCUAACGAUGAAAAUCAUGAGAGACCAGUGAAUUUAUCUGCUAUAAAGAUUUAAGACUGGUUGCUGUGGAAGGAUACACAUUAUUCCGCAAGCACUGAAAGAAAGCUAAUAUCAGAGUUAUUGUGAAUUAAUCUCCACGAGUUGAAGCCUCGUCUUUCUUUUAAGGUGAGAACUUCGAAGUUUGCUGAUAGAAAGACGACCAAACGUGGGUACGCAUCGCAAUAUGAAUACAUCGCUCUUGUACAGUCUGGAUCUCCGACUCCAGCCUGCCCUUAGAGAACCCUGCCAGCUGCAGUGACCACAGAGGAGCUUCUCGCAUCAGAUUUUGAAAGGAGCCACACACUUCGUGGUGCUCCUGUGGCGGAGGCAAGCUUUUCCUGAAUUAAUGGUGAUAAACGUGGCUUUUAAUUUCAGCAAAAUGUUUCCAGGAUUGGCACAUGCACGUAACUCUGAGAAGCACAAGGUCUCUAUGCAAAUCUAGACAGGCCCAUAUGCUGAGGAAUGCCAUGUGAAGGCCAAUUUCAGCAACGGAUUAUACUGCAAUGAAGGACUAGCUCACCUCGUCAGCAUGGCUCGCUGGGAGGAGAUUCACGGAGGAACUUCAAUCGAUGCAAUUCUCGCAGACAGAGACUAACAGCACGCCGACAAAGCAUCGCAAAUCUCCUCUGAUCCAGUAUCUUACAUUGAGAUAGAGAUUUUAAGAUUGUAGGAUUGAGUUGAGGCAAGAAAUGUGGUCUCCUGACUUCUUUGCACAUUGCAAGUCAUCUUAAAAGUCUUUGUGCAAGCUUACGGCUUGUGUACGUGCCGUUA